UACGUAGGGUGCAAGCGUUAAUCGGAAUUACUGGGCGUAAAGCGUGCGCAGGCGGUUUUGUAAGUCUGUCGUGAAAUCCCCGGGCUCAACCUGGGAAUUGCGAUGGAGACUGCAAGGCUGAGAAUCUGGCAGAGGGGGUAGAAUUCCACGUGUGAGACAGUGAAAUGCGUAGAGAGUGUGGAGGAACACCGAUGGCGAAGGCAGCCCCCUGGGUCAAGAUUGACGC
rnacentral:rRNA from 1 species